rnacentral:rRNA from 1 species
GCCGACGGGGCGCAGCAGUAGGGAAUCUUCCACAAUGGGCGAAAGCCUGAUGGAGCAACGCCGCGUGGGUGAAGAAGGUCUUCGGAUCGUAAAACCCUGUUGUUAGAGAAGAAAGUGCGUGAGAGUAACUGUUCACGUUUCGACGGUAUCUAACCAGAAAGCCACGGCUAACUACGUGCCAGCAGCCGCGGUAAUAAGUAGGUGGCAAGCGUUAUCAGGAUUUAUUGGGCGUAAAGGGAACGCAGGCGGCCUUUUAAGUCUGCUGUGAAAGCAUUCGGCUUAAGCGGAGGAGUG